rnacentral:lncRNA from 1 species
AUAAUGUAUCUUCAAUGUAUGUUUGAUGUAGUAUAGAAAGGAAUUCACGUACUUUCUCUGAAAUUGAAGUCCACGUGCGCGGCAAAUUUCAUUGCUUUAGAACUAAGAUAUAUAGCCAUAUAUCGACAUGGUACUAUUUGUAUAAGCCCUUUAAUUCAAACAAUUUGAAAGCUAAUGUCCCUUAAAUGCAGAACAGUUACUAAUUAGGUAAUUGAUACAUGUCGUACAUGUGUGCUAAAGUAUGGUUAUAAAUCUGCUCUUUGCAUACUACUACACAAAUGUAUGUAGAUAAUAGAACAACACAUAUUUGAUAAACAAAUUUUCAUUUUCUCGCUGUAGAAACUACAUACGAAUUAAAAAAGGCAAAGCAAUAGAAGAAGGAUUAAGAAUGCACCUUAAUGACACUUUCUUCAAUUUAUAAUGAAACUUCACAUACAAAACCAAUGGCUACUUGCGACAUCUGUUUAGAACACAUCAAUACCAAGCUUACGAAAUUGGAACUGUGAACCUCGAACAAGACCUCGAACGGGCUAUCAAAAUCAGCAUCUAAAAUGCUAAGAAACCAGCUGCUGGUCUAUUAGACAUCUGGAGGCAGAUUGAGCUUAUAAAGAUGGUAAUCAUUUGACUUGUCCAAACUUACAACCUCAUUAGCUUCCCAAAUCUUUGAUGAUUUCAACAAUCCAUUCACCACUCUUUGCAACAACUUCACAUCAACAUGAUACUUCUUUUUUAAAAACCUCUUUGCACGACUCAAAAACCAAUCAAAAUCACCCUUUUCACAAGCAAUCAUAAUGACACUUCAAAAUAUCACCUUAUUUGGAAAAGCAAAAUUGAAGAAAGUGAAAACUAGCGGAAUGGUUGAGGUGCUCUGUUUUGUUGUGCUUUACGUAGUGAAAUUAUGAAGAAAAAUGGUAUUCGAAUGGUAUAGGGCAGCUGUGAUUUGCUUGAAAAGGAAGAAGGAGACGCUCUAUUUUUCCUUUUCUGAUUUCUCGCCCUUUUCCCCCUUUUGUUCGUACCUUUUUCUCCGUUCUCCUCUCCCUUUGUUCUCACUCCCGUUUUUUCUUUUUUUUUUAGGUUGCGGCUGAUUUUUUUCCCGUAGGGAUUCUAGGUUAAUUAUUUUAAAUGUGGAGAUGAAGGGGAUAUGGGCUUAUGGGUUAGGGAAGAAAGAAAUUGGGCUUGGCCAAAUUUUUUGGCCAACUUUUGUCUAAGAAUGGCCUUCUCUUGGACUUUCUUUUGAUUUUAAAAUCAAGACCAUGUUCAUCUUAAAAUUAAUUUGGUUUUCCCUUCUUUUCUACAGAACAAAUUAAAAAUACAACUAUUACUAAUUCAUGCUAGUUAAGUAAAUAAUUAUAAUGUAAAAAUACUAAAAUUACACAUUGAGGUAACAACUAAAACUAUUUUUGUAUUUUUAANNNNNNAAUAUAAAAAAAAUUGGGGAGGGUCAAAAAUCACAUGUCUAUAGGUGCCCCUCCUUGACUGGAAACACGAAGUAUUUUCGGACAAAGAACGACUAGACAAGUUUUUUGACCCGACCCUUAUUUAGAGAUACCAAAAACUAAAAGAAAGGAGAAUGUGACUGAGCCCUGGUAUUUGAGCUGGCUACAUAUCCUUGGCUAUAAAGGAAUCAGGUCACGUGUAGUUCAGAAGUGAGUGAGAUGAUAGAGUAUGCCGAGGUGGAGAGCCGAUCGAGGUGCCGUUCCGCGGACGAUCCGGUCCGCGGUCCCGUUGUUCAUCAAAAAUCAAAAUUAAAAAAGACUAACAAAACCUGUCAACUAUGAGUUACAAGAUUUCUAUCUAUAAGUCUUCUAAAUCUUGAUCUUGAGUCUUGAAUGGUUCUUCAUGUAGACUUUGGAUUUGAACCUUUACGCUUGCUAGUUCCAGGUGCUAGUUCAUUCUUCUUCCGCUUUUCAAACCAAAACCGGGCAUACCACGCUUGUGACUUCAGUCAUGUCUUGAGCAGCUCACAAUUUCAUUAACGUCUGCAUCUGGAUUCACUUCUUGCCUAUUCUUUUUUUUUAUUCUAGAUUGUGACUAACUUCCCUUGAUCAUCUCGGACUGUUGACUCGCAUUCUUGCUGCUAGUUUCUUUUGUUGCUGACUUGAAUUGCAUUCUGAAGUGAAUUACCUUAUUCUCCAGGUAGCGCCUGAUUGCCAACAUUUAAACUAUAUUCCCUUGUUCUCCAAGCGGGCACCUGAUUACCAAAAUGUGAAUUGUCUUCCCUUUUUUACCUUAAACUGUUUUCCCUUGAAGCUUGUGUUGUCUUCCUUUGAAUAUUGUUGAUUUCCCUUUGUUCUCCAGGUGGGUGCCCGAUUACCAACACUUGAACUGUUUUCUCGAAACUUGACUGAUUCCCUUUGUUCUCCAUGUGGGUUCCUGAUUACCAACACUUGAAUUGUUUUCUCUUUGUUCUCCAGGUGAGCUCCUGAUUACCAACACUUGAAUUGUUUUUCCCUUUGUUCUCCAGGUGGGCUCCUGAUUACCAACGCUUGAAUUGCUUACCCUUUGUUCUCCAAGUGGGCUCCUGGUUAUCGACAAUUGAAUUGUUUUCCCUUUGUUCUCCAGGUAGGCUCUUGAUUACCAACACUUGAAUUGCUUUCCCUUUGUUCUCCAGGUGGGCUCCUGAUUACCGACGCUUGAACUGUUUUCCCUUUGUUCUCCAGGUGGGCUCCUGAUUUCCAACAUUUGAACUGUUUUCCCUUUGUUCUCCAGGCGGGCUCCUGAUUUCGAACACUUGAACUGAUUUCCCUUUGCUCUCCGGGUGGGCUCCUGAUUUCCAACACUUGAAUUGUUUUCCCUUUGUUCUCCAGGUGGGCUCCUGAUUUCCAACACUUGAAUGGUUUUUCCUCGAAACUUGAAUUGCUUCCCUUUGUUCUCUAGGCGGGCUCCUGAUUACCAACACUUGAAUUGAUUUCCCUUUGUUCUCCAGGUGGGCUCUUGAUUACCAACGCUUGAAUUGUAUUCCCUCGCUCUCCAGGUGGGCGCCUGAUUACCAACGCUUGAAUUGUAUUCCCUUACUCUCCAGGUGGGUGUCUGAUUGCUGAACCUGAAUUGUCCUCUUCUUGAAAUUGCUUUUCUUUGAACUGUCUUCCCUUGUUUCUCCAGGUGGGUGCCUAAUUGCUUGAACCUGAACUGCUUUCUNNNNNNNNNNNNNNNNNNNNNNNNNNNNNNNNNNNNNNNNNNNNNNNNNNNNNNNNNNNNNNNNNNNNNNNNNNNNNNNNNNNNNNNNNNNNNNNNNNNNNNNNNNNNNNNNNNNNNNNNNNNNNNNNNNNNNNNNNNNNNNNNNNNNNNNNNNNNNNNNNNNNNNNNNNNNNNNNNNNNNNNNNNNNNNNNNNNNNNNNNNNNNNNNNNNNNNNNNNNNNNNNNNNNNNNNNNNNNNNNNNNNNNNNNNNNNNNNNNNNNNNNNNNNNNNNNNNNNNNNNNNNNNNNNNNNNNNNNNNNNNNNNNNNNNNNNNNNNNNNNNNNNNNNNNNNNNNNNNNNNNNNNNNNNNNNNNNNNNNNNNNNNNNNNNNNNNNNNNNNNNNNNNNNNNNNNNNNNNNNNNNNNNNNNNNNNCUUCAAUGCUCCAACUAAUCCAAUCUGAUUCACAAUCCUUAUUCGGCUUGUAGUGCCCGAAGGGUUGUCACCAUCAAGCCUCUCUCAUUUUGUUCUUUUUCUCAACUCACAAUCGCCUUAUGGUGCCUAUGAAGGUUUUCACCAAUAAGACUCUCAUUUUUUUCUUCUUCUUUCCUCCGAUUCUGUUGAUGACAAGGCGUUGACCAUAGUAAAAACAUCAUGUGUUCCUGGCAUGUCUAAACUCAACACUCUCAAAGAUUAUCUGGGAGGUCAUUUUUGGACUGUGAUGUGGCUUUUGGACAGGGUUAAAAAGGAAGGAUAUCAUAAAUGCUCAAAAUAACUAAGACAAUGGGGUUAAUUUAUUUACAACUUUUGGAAUCCAUUCUAAAAACUUUUCCCCAAUUUCUAAAAUAAGGGAAUUUGAUUCUCUUUUUUCUUUUUCUUUUUACUAAGAAAGACUGCUCCACUCUUGACUUCGUGGGAUUAUGAAAUAUUUUAUUUGGUAUGACCGAACCGUAAGGUUGCCUACGUAUCUUGUGGUGACAAGAAUCAGGUCAAACGUAGUUCACAAGACUACUUUUUGUUACUAUUUUCCUUUUCUUUUUCAUUUUUUUUUCUUUUUCCCUUUUUUUUCUUUAUCUCUAUUUUUCUCUUCUUUUUUUUGAAUUUUUCUUUUGGAAUGAACUUUCUAAAAUAAACCUAUGGGGACAAUUUUUUCGUUUGACUCUAACUUGAUUCCAAAAGAGGGGAGUCCAAAGAAAUCAGUACAUGCUCAAAAGGGAUACCAAAGGAUAUAAAGUGUUUGGAUAGCUGAAAGAGGGUCUCCCAAUCCCUGAAAAUAGCAAGUAAAACAUAUGUAACUUGAAAAUGAAAAAGAAAAACCAUGCACAACAUUUCUUUUGCAACUUCGACAUUGAUAUCACUUAUAUGCCUUCCAUUUUUUUAGUGCCUUGUCAAGUACAGAACUCUCGUUGGGUAAUUUCUUCUUCUUCACAAUGGAUGCCCUCCCUCUGUUUGGAGCAAACUCCCUUGGCUUUAUCUCGUAACUUGAGAUGCACUUGAACUCAAAGUUGCUCGCUUCAAAUUGUUGGGACGCACUCUCUUGUAACAAAUCAUGUCAUCCUCUCAACUUCCCAAACCAUCUGCCCCAAUUUUACACAAUUCGGGCUUUAAAUGACCUCAAGAUGUCCAAAUCUGUACCUAUUUCCCUCAAAUGUCCCUAUCAUUUUCAAACUUGUUUCAUUGCCUCAUGAUUAUCUAACUUUUAAGAUCAGGCCUAGAAUUAUGCGUGUAUAUCAUGUCACUAGAGCCAAUAUGAAAAGAACUAUAAAACAGAAGAGAACUACACACACAAAAAAUGACCAGAAAUAACAGAAAGCAGAAAAUUGCAUUAGACAGACGGUGAAAGGGUUCGAACAACAAAACAAACAAAACACACUGGGGUUACGACCUUAGAAAAACCUAAAUAGCACUAAAAGGGGUACUAUGACUAAAUGAACUAGGCAAAAUAAAAGGAUAGAAGGGUUUGAGUCACAAUACAAUAUCUAGAUUACAACCCUGAAAUAAACCAGACAACAGAAAUGGCAACAAAAUAAACCACCAGGACUCCUCCCCGGGUAACCAAGAAGGGAACGUGUUUCCAAUUACCAAGCUAGACGUCUUAGCCACUGAGUUCCACAUCAAUAUUACCAAUACCAUUACCAAUUUCAAUCACAUUGACUUCAGUCAGCAAGUUCCUAAGAUAAUUCUCAUGCUCCUUGUCACCACGCAUCAUCCCCACAAAGUGUGCAUCAUCAUGUGUAGGUAAAGGAUUAUGCGCGAUGUGCUGGGUGUCACUGUCCUGGAUCACAAUUAUCCCUUCUUGAAUCAUUCUUUCUAUUUCCAUUUUCAAAGCACGACAAUCUUCAAUGCUAUGACCUUGGACAUUAGAGUGGUACAUGUACCGUACAGUAGGAUCAAAACCUUUUGCAUAUGGGUCCAGCGUAUAGCUGAGGAGCGGCUCAAUCAGGCCAGAAUGUUUUAACUUUUCAAACAAGUUUGUGUAGGAUUCUCUGAUGGGAGUGAAAUUAUCUUUUUGCCUUUGUUUCCCUCCAUGCCCUAGUUUUCUAGAGUUGUUGGAUGAUCGAAAAUGCUGUGAAGGCAAAAGUGCAUUAUGCGAUGCUGGCGCUCGCCAUGAGGAAUGACCUAAUAGUUGGACAGAUGACCGAACAUUGUACGGAGGAUAAUACUGGGGUGAAUUAUGUGGAGCUAGGGGAUUUUCAUGGGGUCGGUAUUGAGGCUGAAAGCAUUUAGCAGGAAUGCCCAUUAGAUCCUGUCAUUGGUGGGGCUCAGCAACAUCUUUUCUAUCAAUGGGAGGACAGUCCCGAGCAACUUGUUCAUUCCAUCUGAACCAAAAUUUCUUAAAACUUUCCUUGGGUUUCUUCUCCAUCUGAGAUAUGGAGGAGCGGUCUGGGACAAUGUCUAUAUUGUACUGAAAGUGUCGCACAAAAUCUUGAGCCAUGUCAUCCCAUGUAUGCCACUUACCGACAUCUUGAUGAGUAUGCCAUUCCAAAGUUGCCCUAGUCAGGCUCUCACUGAAAUACGUCAUUAGCAACUCAUCUUUCCCGCCAACACUGCAAUAACCCCUCAGAUGGGCUACUGGAUCUCCAUGUCCAUCAUACAAAUUAAACUUAGGCAUCUUAAACCCUUUCAGCUUUCUGGAUAUCUCAUCUUGCUCCACUAUCUUAGCAGGCUUUGCAGUCUCACCGGGAAGCUCAAAAUGAGUAGCGUAAGAGUAUGGACCCGCGACUUUGAAAAUUGGUUUCGGAGCAUGGUGUUGGGCAUCGGGGAUUUUGAACACAGUCUUGCUAGAGGAUCGAGGAAAGGUAGUAGGUGGAUGAGCUACAAAAACAUGAGUGGUCAAAGGAGCAUGAUAUGACGUGAUUCUGGGGGUGGAGUGUGAAAAGAUUGUGGGGGGGGGGGGUAUCCUGGGUUUGUGACAGUGGCGGAAUGGUGACAAGGCUUUCAGUGUAGUUAGUGGGAACUGAUGGUGGAGGACGCCCACUAAUCCAGGCUUGGUAUAUUUCGGCCAUCUGUCCUUUCAAUCUUAAGACCUCUUCUUUCAACUCAGAUUCUGAUUCAACAAUUCCCUUUGACGGAUCAAUAACCCAUGUUUUCACGUCUUUGCUAGCCAUGGCUACCUUGCCCUUUGACCUUGAGUUAUAUGGAUGAGUUACUUAAAAACCUCAAACUAACCACCCUUCUGCUCAAUGAAGAUAACAAAAGGAACAAAAUAGAGUCAUCCUGUUGGCAUUAGGGAAUUUAACAGCUAAAAAUAUCACAUUGCGUGCAAUGCACCUAACAACAAUUAACGGUUCUAGAAUGACUUCUAGGGUCACAAGGUCACUUGGCAUAAUCCUAAUUUGUUCAUUUUAAUCCUCUUUCUUUUCUGUUGUGGCACUUCUUGUCUUGCUCAUUUUCUUUCCUUUUUUUUUUCUGAUUAUCGCUUUUUUAUUUCCUCUCAUUUCUUACAUCCCAUAAGUUCAUCCUCUUUUUUUCUUUUCUCUUUUGUUUUUUUUUCUUGUUUUUUUCUUUUUCUUUAAUAAUAAAAAAAUGAUUCGACCGUACCCUAUGUAGGUUGCCUACGUAUCAUGACGCUGUAUGAAUCAGAUCUUUGCGUAGUUCGGGAAAAGUAAUGGAUAAGUUAAACUAAAAAAAAUAAAAAUCUUUUUGGAUUAUUCAUUUACAACUUUUUUUAUUUUCAAAACAAAAACAGGAAAUAUGAUAAUGAGAAACUCAACUCAACUAUACUACGACAAACUCCGUCACCAACUAAAAAAUCAUUGCUAUUGGACAUAACUAUAAAGUACAAGACAGCAUAAAAAAAAAGAAACAGACUCAAAAUAUAAAAAAAUUCUCCUUAAGCAACUCCUGGAUGCAACAGUCCUGACCAGACGGUCCUGGAGUGUUUGUCAUUCUCAAACUCCGGUAAGUAGAUUCACACAUGCAUAAGAAACUAAAGCCAAAUAGAGUUAAGGAUUUAGAACACUAUGUGAGGCAAUAACACUCCCUGUUAGACACAUGCAAGACAAGAUUGUGCAAAAUAGCCUAUGUGACCAAAAGGCGACUAGAAGUGCAAACUUAACAAAUGUGACCUCUAAGACAUGGAAAAAUAACUUUUAUAGAAAUGACCAGUUUUGUAGAAAUGACCAAUGUGGCCAAAAAAGGCUAAGCAUGCAAAUUCCAUAGAAUGGACCUUAAACAGAGAGAACAUCUUGUUGUGGACUUAGGACUCUAAAGCAUGGGCUAAUUGAACCACUUUUGCGAAAAUAACCCUACUUUGCAAAAUGACCUAUGUGGCCAAAAGCGGUUGGACAUGCAAUUUUGACAAAGACGGACCUCUAAAGUGAAGAGACACCUAAUUGUGGAUUCAAAACUCUCCGAACAAUUAAACAAACCACUUUGUGAAAAUAGUCAUAUUUUGCAGAAUGACUGAUGUGGCCAAAAGUGGCUAGACAUGUAAGAUUUGACUACGACCCCGCGAAGCCAAGAACCUAAGACUUACUAAGAAGACCGGACUCUAUGUGGGUUGCCUACGUAUCACGCCCCGAAAGACGAGAAUCAGGUAUGCGUAGUUCGGGCAGACUGGAUACGAGCGAGCAAUAAAAAUAAUAACUAAUUUAGAGAAAAAUAUAUUUUUUGUCCCUUUUUUUUGAAAAUGAUGAAACAUUUAAACACCUUUUGGAUUUUCUUUUCCUAUUUUUGCAAACUCUUUUUUUGGAUUUUUCAUUUUUUUUUUUGAAAAAGUGUGAAAGAAAAUUAUAACUGGGUCCCACUUGCUUUAUUUUUAUACUUCAACCUCUUUUGUAUCUCAUUUACCCUCAAACCUCAUUGGUCCGCCAAAUGACCCCUUUUACCCUUGAAGUAAUGCAACAUGUAGCGCAUAGGAUGCAUCAAGAUGGUCUGUUAUUUUGGGUACACUUGUCCUAGACGGACCCAACCCAUGUGUUGACUCCCCUAAGUCAAAUGCACGUGAUGCAACAAACGUUCCUACUAGGGAUCCGGCAUGAGGCUAUGUUAUUCUAGGUUUAAAAACCUGGGUUUAUUUGUUCUAGACCUGGCUUACCCGAGCGGACAACUGGAGCCGGGGGAGGGGGGCAGCGUAUUGGGAAUACAGAAGCUUCACCAGCUUUGGAACUUGUCCGAACCUCGUUCUAAAAUUGGAAUAUGACUCUAACAUAAGAGAAGUCACAAGAAGUGCACACUUCCCGGAUGAUUUAGAAGACUCAGAGAGAGGAGAGUUUCGUAACAGUUUAUAUACAUUUCAACCAAUAUCAAAGCGGUAAAAAGCGGUAAUUAUCACAUUAGGCUCAAAUACGUAAAAAUCAGAUAAUAAAUAAAGCCAACUAUAACAGAUAUUCUAAGCUCGAAUUCUGAACCCCGAACCAAAAGUUCUGGGUUCUUUUCCCCAGCAGAGUCGUCAGAGUUGUCACACCUCCUUUUUCUGACCCCCGUAAGGGUAUAAGAGAGUUUUUUCCAAUUUAAGUGACAAUUGAAACAAGAUUAUCUAUUUAAAAAUCAGAGUCGUCACUUGGGAUAAUUUAUGGUGUCCCAAGUCACCAGUUUAAAUCCCGAAUCGAGGAAAGAUUGACUCUGUUUUAUAGUCUGCGAAUACACAAAUUCGGGUAAGGAAUUUUGUUAACCCGGGAGAAGGUGUUAGGCAUUCCCGGGUUCCGUGGUUCUAGCACAGUCGCUCAACUAUUAUUAUUUUCCUAAUUAUCCGAUUUUAAAAUACUUUUAAACCUAUGUGCAUUUUUAACUUUAAAACCGCUUUUAUCUAUUUAAGAAAUUAUUUCAAGGUUAUUUAAAACACAUCGCAAGCCACGCUAUAUGAAAUGCACCCGUGAUUCACAACGCGUUCUAUUUAACCUUAUUGGAAAUGAGAAUCGGGUCACAUGAAAUGUACACCCGGAUUUAUAACACAUUAUCAUUCAAAAUUAUGGUAGGGUCACAUGAAAUGCACACCCGAAUUGGGGAUUAGGUAUCGUGACCAUGCAGAAAACUAUACCCAUAGCCACGAUGAUUUAAUAAUCACGCCUAACGUAGGCUACGAUGUUCAUUAAUUAUUUUCCUAAAGCUAAUUUCAGAUUAUUGCGAUAACAGGACAAGAUGGAAAAAUCAGAAAGAACAGUAGGUUGGUGAAUUAGAAAGUUUGGAUUGUGAGAUAAUUUGUUACCUUAGCUAAUAAUGUAUCUUCAAUGUAUGUUUGAUGUAGUAUAGAAAGGAAUUCACGUACAUUUUCUGAAAUUGAAGUCAACGUGCGCGGCAAAUUUCAUUGCUUUAGUACUAAGAUAUAUAGCAUAUAUCGACAUGGUACUAUUUGUAUAAGCCCUUUAAUUCAAGCAAUUUGAAAGCUAAUGUCCCUUAAAUGCAGAACAGUUGCUAAUUAGGCAAUUGAUACAUGUCGUACAUGUGUGCUAAGGUAUGGUUCUGAAUCUGCUCUUUGCAUACUACUACACAAAUGUAUGUACAUAAUAGAACACAUAUUUGAUAAACAAAUUUCCAUUUUCUCGCUGCAGAAACUACAUACGAAUUAAAAGAGGCAAAGCAAUAGAAGAAGGAUUAAGAAUGCACCUUAAUAUGACACUUCCUUCAAUUUAUAAUGAAACUUCACAUACAAAACCAAUAGCUACUAGCCACAUUUGUUUAGAACACAUCAAUACCAAGCUUACGAAAUCGGAACCGUGAACCUCAAACAAGACCUCGAACGGGCUAUCAAAAUCAGCAUCUAAAAAGCUAAGCAACCAGUUGUUGGUCCCUUAGACAUCUGGAGGCAGAUUGAGCUUAUAAAGAUGGUAAUCAUUUGACUUGUCCAAACUUACAACCUCCUUAGCUUUCCAAAUCUUUGAUGAUUUCAACAAUCCAUUCACCACUCUUUGCAACAACUUCACAUCAACAUGAUCCUUCUUUUUUAAAAACCUCUUUGAACGACUCAAAAACCAAUCAAAAUCACCCUUUUCACAAGCAAUCGUAAUGACACUUCCAAAUAUCGCCUUAUUUGGAAAAGCAAAAUUGAAGAAAGUGAAAACCAGCGGAAUGGUUGAGUUGCUCUGUUUUGUUGUGCUUUACAUAGUGAAAUUAUGAAGUUGAAUGGUAUUUGAAUGGUAUAGGGAUGCUGUGAUUUGCUUGAAAAGGAAGAAGAAUACGCUCUAUUUUUCCUUUUCUGAUUUCUCGCCCUUUUCCCCCUUUUGUUCGUGCCUUUUUCUCCAUUCUCCUCUACCUUUGUUCUCACUCCCGUUUUUUCUUUUUUUUUAGGUUGCGGCUGAUUUUUUCC